AUUGAACGCUGGCGGCAGGCCUAACACAUGCAAGUCGAGCGGAUGAAGGGAGCUUGCUCCUGGAUUCAGCGGCGGACGGGUGAGUAAUGCCUAGGAAUCUGCCUGGUAGUGGGGGAUAACGUCCGGAAACGGGCGCUAAUACCGCAUACGACCUGAGGGAGAAAGUGGGGGAUCUUCGGACCUCACGCUAUCAGAUGAGCCUAGGUCGGAUUAGCUAGUUGGUGGGGUAAAGGCCUACCAAGGCGACGAUCCGUAACUGGUCUGAGAGGAUGAUCAGUCACACUAGAACUGAGACACGGUCCAGGCUCCUGCGGGAGGCAGCAGUGGGGAAUAUUGGACAGUGGGCGAAAGCCUGAUCCAGCCAUGCCGCGUGUGUGAAGAAGGUCUUCGGAUUGUAAAGCACGUUAAGUUGUGAGGAAGGGCAGUAAGUUAAUACCUUGCUGUUUUGACGGUACCAACAGAAUAAGCACCGGCUAACUUCGUG
rnacentral:rRNA from 1 species